CAACAAACAAAUAAACAUCUUCAUUGUGUUGACUCGGACUACUUGAAUUCACUCCUGCAGUGUCCCUCUCUCCAUUCAUUCUCCUCCGACAACAACGCAAUGCCUUCAUCGUCUUCGUCUUCUUCUUCUUCUUCCGCUCUAACCGUUCCCAAUUUGCAUCUUCGCGCCCUCAGAAUUUGGUCCUCCAAGUACUACGCAAUCGCCGCAUUCAUCUUCCUCGUCCUCUUCUCUCUCCUUCUCUUCUCCCACUUGGAUUCACGUUCCCGUUACUCCAACCUCAUUCCGUUAACCCUCCUCCGCAACGCCAACCAAACGCUUGCGCUAUGCUUGGACGGGAGCGCCCCUGGUUACCAUUUCCGAAGCCGGUUCGGAUCCGGAUCCCGCAAUUGGCUGAUCCACAUUGGGGUUUCUGGCUCCCUUGUUGUUAAAAAUGAGUUUGGUUUCUAAAAUGGAGAAAUGCUAGUAACACACUCUCCAAUACUUGAAAUUAUUACGUAGUCCCAAACUUCCAUUUCCAUAGUCCCAGAUAAUCUCUAUGUAACUCUGUAACUCAUAAUUGAGUUUUAUUAACUAUCUCUUGUAAAUUUGAAAGACACAUAGAAAUUAGCUGGAACUAUAGACACGCGUAAUAAUUUCUCUUUCUACUAAUAGGGUAUAGUUCAGUUGGUUGGAUGGGGGUGAGUUUUUGUAAAUUCCUUAUACCUGUCUUUCAUUCCUAUAAAUAUUAAAAAAACAAACUCUUUCUGACAUACUCUUUUAAACACAUUCUUUAUUAUCGAGGAUUGAAAUCUAUUGAAAAUCAUAAGAUUUUGCAAUUCUCACUUCUUAUUUAAUAAGUUUAGCUCGUAAUUUUAUAGAUUCCAAUUCCAAUGAAUUUUAUAGGUUGUGUUCCUCUCGAAAAUAUUAUUGACCUGGUUUCGAUUGUGUGUGCAGGGAGGAAGGUGGUGCAAUUCGAUACUUUCAUGUCAUCAGUGAAAAUUCACUCAUUUGGGGUCUUCCAAUCAUAUGGAGAAGCUUAUUCCUUUUUCAGGAAUAUUGAGCUCUGACCCUGCUCAGAACACUGGUGAAGAUACACUACUGUGGCGGCGCAUCUUUUGCCGGUCAUCCAGAGAGUGAGCAGAGAGGAAGUGGGUUGUUCUUCAGAGGCUAGGUCAUAUGGAAAACUAUUAUGGAUGAACUCUUAUCAACUGGCCUGUCUAAAGCAAAGCAGGCUUUGCUUUCAGGAUGCUCUGCUGGAGGAUUGGCAACUCUUAUACACUGAUAAUUUCCGACAAGUACUUCCAAAGGAAGCAACUGUCGAGUGUCUUGCCGAUGCAGGAUUCUUCCUAGAUGAGGUCUUGCAAAAAGUUUGCACAAAGAUUGCAUUGCUAAAAUGGAACCAUAUAAGGC